AAAAACAUGGCCUUUUGAUUUUAAUUUAAGGUCUAACCUGCCCAAUGAUUUUAUUUAAUGGCCGCGGUAUUUUGACCGUGCAAAGGUAGCAUAAUCAUUAGUUUUUUAAUUGAAAGCUGGAAUGAAGGGUUGAAUGAGAAAAUAACUGUUUUUUUUAUAAUUUAUUAAAAUUUUAUUUUUAAGUUAAAAAGCUUAAAUUUUAUUUAAAGACGAGAAGACCCUUUAGAGUUUUAUAAAAAUUAUUUUUUUCUUAUUUUUAGUAUUAAUAAAAUGAAAAAUUUAUUUUUAUUUGGUUGGGGUGAUUAAAAAAUUUAAAAAACUUUUUUUUAUUUAGUACAUUUAUUUAUGAAUAUUUGAUCCAUAUAUUAUGAUUAAAAGAAAAAAUUACCUAAGGGAUAACAGCGUUAUUUUUUUUAAGAGUUCAAAUCGAAAAAAAAGAUUGCGACCUCGAUGUUGGAUUAAAAUUAAAUUAUGGUGUAGAGGCU
rnacentral:rRNA from 1 species